rnacentral:rRNA from 1 species
UCGAUUUGGAGUUUGUUGCCUAGAGUGAUGGGCUCCGAAGCUAACGCGAUAAAUCGACCGCCUGGGGAGUACGGCCGCAAGGUUAAAACUCAAAUGAAUUGACGAGGGCCCGCACAAGCGGUGGAGCAUGUGGUUUAAUUCGAUGCAACGCGAAGAACCUUACCUGGUCUUGACAUCCACAGAAUUCUCCGGAGACGGAGAAGUGCCUUCGGGAACUGUGAGACAGGUGCUGCAUGGCUGUCGUCAGCUCGUGUUGUGAAAUGUUGGGUUAAGUCCCGCAACGAGCGCAACCCUUAUCCUUUGUUGCCAGCGAUUCGGUCGGGAACUCAAAGGAGACUGCCGGUGAUAAACCGGAGGAAGGUGGGGAUGACGUCAAGUCAUCAUGGCCCUUACGACCAGGGCUACACACGUGCUACAAUGGCGCAUACAAAGAGAAGCGACCUCGCGAGAGCAAGCGGACCUCAUAAAGUGCGUCGUAGUCCGGAUCGGAGUCUGCAACUCGACUCCGUGAAGUCGGAAUCGCUAGUAAUCGUGGAUCAGAAUGCCACGGUGAAUACGUUCCCGGGCCU